UUAAUGUGAUACAUACAGGAGAGCAGCAGAGUGAGUGGAGAAUUAGAGUUGGUGCCAGUUCACCUCGAAGCAUUUAUCUUUGCUUUUUUUCCCCCUGGUGCCUGCACUGAGCCUGAGGAUCAGAAUGGAAAAUAGAACAACUGGGCUCCUUGCCUGGACGGGAGUGUUGCUGAGUACACAGCCGCUACAAUAAUGUAUGUUCAAUCCCAUUCAAAGAGAGUGCCUGCUGGAGAAGACAAGCAGAGAGAUGAGAAACUG